UGCUGCCCUGCAAGGACAGCACACCAGGCUGUGUGUCCCUGCCCACACUGAGGGGACAGUGCCCGUGCUGGGGGACAGACAGUGCCCUGCACAAAAUGCUGCAGGGUUCAGCAAAAUGGUGAUGUGGAAAGCCAGCAACAGCAUUUUGUCUUACUACCUCCUUCAUGUAUCAGCAGCAUUGAAUAAGAUCUCUUUCCUGAGGGCACGCUGCAUAAUGCAAAAAGAGCUGUGUGAAGUUUGGUGCAGAGGAUGAAAACGGGACCACUCAGCUGCUUUACAGAGAUGAGGUUCUCUUCCCCUUCCCCCUCCACACGUUUUUCACUGUAAGUGAAAAUGAAACUUGUGCUUUUCAGAGGAAAUGGCUGCUAAAGGUUAAAGGGGAGGAACAUCGUGUGGGAUCCUGGCACAACAAAUGCGUUGCUGGACUCGCAGGAACUCACCACUCGAGUGAAAUAACAGGGAAGAUAAAAACGUGAAAAACAACAAUAAAGGGAGAGCUGCCAGGUGGAGAAAUAGGAUGGUUUGUUGUUUCUAUGAAGCCAGUGGGGAAGUGCAGCAGGUUUACCAGGGGUUUGAAUUGAAUCCAUCCAAAGGAAGACUUGAUAUUCAAGGCUGCCCCUCGGCAAAGAGGAGUUUUGCAUUCAUUAAUAUUGCCUUGGGAUGAAGGAAGGAACAGGAGAGCCCUGAUUGACCUUAGACAUUUAUAAAGGUGCUGAAAGGCACAGAGAAUUACCCUCACUCCCCCAGCUUUGUGCCAGUUUGCCACCAUUGAAAAGGAAAAGCAAUGGCCACAGACUGACAAGAUGUUUCAUGUUGGAGAAUUGGAAUUUUGUCUUUCCAGCCCUCUUCCAGGGCUGGGCAGUGAAUUUCUUUAUACACAGUGCACGUAUCCUGCCAGGCAUCAGCAGUGUCUGGCUAGAACUGACCUCAAAGGAAGACAGGCACUGAUAUUUGCAAGCAGAUUUUGGACACUUGCAACACUAAGGCUUUAUCUCAAAUGUAAGAUCAAACCACUUAUAUUAUUUAUACUUUCCUCCAGCAUAUUCUCUUUGAAUAUUUUCUCACUGAAUGCACGAUGAUUUCUUCUCUUCAUAACUUUUUUGAUUACUAGUGUCAGUCUGCUGCUUUUAAGAAUGGUAGAGUUGCAAUGUCCAAACUGUUAUACACAGGGUGGUGAAUUUAUUCUUUUAAAUUAUAGCUUAGUAUAUUUAGUCAGUUUGUUUUAUAUCGAGUAUUCAUUUAAGUGGUUUUCAUUGUAUUGACAUUUUAUAAUGCCCUCCUAAUAUUCUUAUUAUUGAUUUUAAUACUGCAAUGGUAUUAUUCAUGGUGACACCUAUUGGAAAGCAAGCUUCAAUUAUAUCAAUAGAUGCUAUUAUUAUAACAUUGAUAACAUUAAUAUUUGAUAGUGGCAUAAAAUGUGAUGCAUUGGCAAUUAACUCAUUAAUGUAGAUAUCAUUAACCAAAAAUGUCAAAGUUGUUGUAAUGAUUUUUCUGUGGUUUUCUUUAACAAAUUCUCUAAUCACCGGCUCAGUUUUGCAUUUCCAAGUGUGCAUUAGCCACAAAAGUUUUUCUGAAAACUAAAUAACAUCAUCCCUUUUAAAUGAGAAAAGAUGGGCUUUUAUGGCUCAGAAGAUGCCCUGAGUCUUGAAUCAAGAGCAUUAGUAAGAGAUAGAGCAUCUGA